rnacentral:lncRNA from 1 species
CGCGGGCGUCGCAGUCCGGCAGGGCAGGAUGAGCCCCCGGGCCGUCCCGCGGCUGCUGAGGCUCCAGCGACACCUAGGCCCCCAGGAGGGCAGCAGCACGGAGCCUCCGGACAACCUACUGACCACCCACGUGCUGGACACCGCCUCAGGGCUCCCAGCCAGAGGCCUCUGCCUCCGCUUGUGCUGGCUGGAGGACCACGGCCAGCAGUGGGCGGAGCUGAGGACAAGCUACACAGACCCAGAUGGUCACUGUCCUGGACCAGAUGAAGGCAGGCACCUACAAGCUCACCUUCGACACUGAGGGCUACUGGAGGAAGAGGGGGCAGGAAAGCUUCUACCCACAUGUGGAGGUUGUUUUAACCAUCACCAGCAAGGCCCAGAAGUUCCACGUGCCCCUGGUCCUACAUCACCUACCGAGGGAGUUAGAGCGAAGACUGGCAGCGGGAGGCUGCCUGCCCGUUCCCGCACGCUGGCUGCACCCACCCAGCCCUCAACAGAGCGGGCUUUGUGCUCAUCAGGGAGCAUUGGCUCACCACUUCCUAGGGAAGUCCCGGCCCCCUGGAGAAUCCCACUGGGCAGCUGUGACUCAGGUGUCAAUGAAGUUAGUGCCAGCACCUGCAAAGCUGUCCAUUCGGUGGGACAACAGUGGCGCGAAGACAGGCAGCACAGCGCGGCACUGCCCCAACCCCCAGCGGCGCUCAGAGCCUGCAGCUUGCGUUCUAGCACGAGGUUCUUGAACCCUGUCUUCUGCUGCACCUCCUGGAUGGCUGCGGUGAACUUCCGAUAGAGCUCGUCCCGCUCCUGCUGCACCUGUAGGGACAGCGCUGGGGGUGGGCGAUGAGGCCCCUCACCUGGGGACAUCUCGCUGGGAAGAUGCUGCCUCCCACCUCUGCACCUGCCUGGAACACGCUGCCUCCCAACAGUGCCCACUCCCACAGCACCGGGGUCAGUGUGUUGUCCACACUGCCUGCGCCCUGGCCCUUUGUAGAGCCAUCCACGCAGUGGAAGGCAGGAGGAACACAUCAGCAUAAGCCCUUCUCUCAGGAAGGUGUCUCUGGAAGCCAUAAGUGUCCUGGUAAGAGCUGAAGCAGCCCCACCCUGAAAGCUGCUUCAUGGGUGGCCGAGGCCAGUCUUGCCCGAGUGAGGGCUGUGGGCUCAGGUGAGAUUUGAGAUCCAGGGCAUCCAGCAGGCCGAGCUUGCAGGUGGGGCCCCUUGGAGGAUAUGCUCCCUUGGCCAGCCCCAGAUCCUGGCAUCACAUGUGCUGUCCGCCCCACAAAUGGUGGAUCUGGAGCACGGCCUUGGAGCCAGCUACCUGCCAGCCAGUAAAACUGUUCUUUUUUAUCUCCUAA